UACGAAGGGGGCUAGCGUUGCUCGGAAUUACUGGGCGUAAAGCGCACGUAGGCGGAUUGUUAAGUCGGGGGUGAAAUCCUGGAGCUCAACUCCAGAACUGCCUUCGAUACUGGCGAUCUCGAGUUCGGGAGAGGUGAGUGGAACUGCGAGUGUAGAGGUGAAAUUCGUAGAUAUUCGCAAGAACACCAGUGGCGAAGGCGGCUCACUGGCCCGAUACUGACGCUGAGGCACGAAAGCGUGGGGAGCAAACAGGG
rnacentral:rRNA from 1 species